GAUGAAGAACGUAGCGAAAUGCGAUAAGUAAUGUGAAUUGCAGAAUUCAGUGAAUCAUCGAAUCUUUGAACGCAUAUUGCGCUCUCUGGUAUUCCGGAGAGCAUGCUUGUUUGAGUAUCAGUAAACACCUCAACUUCCAUAUCUUUUUUGAAAUGGGAGUUGGACUUGAGUGAUCCCAACGCUUUUCCUCACCGAAAAGUGGCGGGUUACUUGAAAUGCAGGUGCAGCUGGACUUUUCUCUGAGCUAUAAGCAUAUCUAUUUAGUCUGCCUAAAAAACAGAUUAUUACCUUUGCUGCAGCUAACAUAAAGGAGAUUAGUUCUUGUGCUGACUGAUGCAGGAUUCACAAAGACGGCUUCGGCCGACUUUGUAAACUCGAUCUCAAAUCAAGUAAGACUACCCGCUGAACUUAAGCAUAUCAAUAAGCGGAGGA
rnacentral:misc_RNA from 1 species